rnacentral:rRNA from 1 species
AUAUGAACCGUUAUAACCGGCGAUUUCCGAAUGGGGAAACCCAGUGUGUUUCGACACACUAUCAUUAACUGAAUCCAUAGGUUAAUGAGGCGAACCGGGGGAACUGAAACAUCUAAGUACCCCGAGGAAAAGAAAUCAACCGAGAUUCCCCCAGUAGCGGCGAGCGAACGGGGAGCAGCCCAGAGCCUGAAUCAGUGUGUGUGUUAGUGGAAGCGUCUGGAAAGGCGCGCGAUACAGGGUGACAGCCCCGUACACAAAAAUGCACAUGCUGUGAGCUCGAUGAGUAGGGCGGGACACGUGGUAUCCUGUCUGAAUAUGGGGGGACCAUCCUCCAAGGCUAAAUACUCCUGACUGACCGAUAGUGAACCAGUACCGUGAGGGAAAGGCGAAAAGAACCCCGGCGAGGGGAGUGAAAAAGAACCUGAAACCGUGUACGUACAAGCAGUGGGAGCCUCUUUUAUGGGGUGACUGCGUACCUUUUGUAUAAUGGGUCAGCGACUUAUAUUCUGUAGCAAGGUUAACCGAAUAGGGGAGCCGAAGGGAAACCGAGUCUUAACUGGGCGUUAAGUUGCAGGGUAUAGACCCGAAACCCGGUGAUCUAGCCAUGGGCAGGUUGAAGGUUGGGUAACACUAACUGGAGGACCGAACCGACUAAUGUUGAAAAAUUAGCGGAUGACUUGUGGCUGGGGGUGAAAGGCCAAUCAAACCGGGAGAUAGCUGGUUCUCCCCGAAAGCUAUUUAGGUAGCGCCUCGUGAAUUCAUCUCCGGGGGUAGAGCACUGUUUCGGCAAGGGGGUCAUCCCGACUUACCAACCCGAUGCAAACUGCGAAUACCGGAGAAUGUUAUCACGGGAGACACACGGCGGGUGCUAACGUCCGUCGUGAAGAGGGAAACAACCCAGACCGCCAGCUAAGGUCCCAAAGUCAUGGUUAAGUGGGAAACGAUGUGGGAAGGCCCAGACAGCCAGGAUGUUGGCUUAGAAGCAGCCAUCAUUUAAAGAAAGCGUAAUAGCUCACUGGUCGAGUCGGCCUGCGCGGAAGAUGUAACGGGGCUAAACCAUG